UACAGAGGGGGCAAGCGUUGUUCGGAAUUACUGGGCGUAAAGGGCGCGUAGGCGGCCUUCUAAGUCAUGCGUGAAAUCCCCGGGCUCAACCCGGGAACUGCGUCUGAUACUGGAAGGCUUGAAUCCGGGAGAGGGAUGCGGAAUUCCAGGUGUAGCGGUGAAAUGCGUAGAUAUCUGGAGGAACACCGGUGGCGAAGGCGGCGUUCUGGACUGUUUCUGACACUGAAUAACGAAAGCCAGGGGAGCAAACGGG
rnacentral:rRNA from 1 species